CGCGAAGAACCUUACCAGGGCUUGACAUCCCUCUGACGGGUGCAGAGAUGCACCUUCCCUUCGGGGCAGAGGAGACAGGUGGUGCAUGGUUGUCGUCAGCUCGUGUCGUGAGAUGUUGGGUUCAGUCCCGCAACGAGCGCAACCCUUGACCUGCGUUACCAGCGCGUUAAGGCGGGGACUCACAGGUGACUGCCGGCGUAAGUCGGAGGAAGGCGGGGAUGACGCCAAAUCAUCAUGCCCCUGAUGUCCUGGGCUACACACGUGCUACAAUGGGCGGUACAAAGGGAGGCGAAGCCGCGAGGCGGAGCGAAACCCAAAAAGCCGCUCGUAGUUCGGAUUGCAGGCUGCAACUCGCCUGCAUGAAGCCGGAAUUGCUAGUAAUCGCGGAUCAGCAUGCCGCGGUGAAUACGUUCCCGGGCCUUGUACACACCGCCCGUCACACCACGAGAGUCGGCAACACCCGAAGUCGGUGAGGUAACCCCGCAAGGGGAGCCAGCCGCCGAAGGUGGGGUCGAUGAUUGGGGUGAAGUCGUAACAAGGUAGCCGUA
rnacentral:rRNA from 1 species